UACGGAGGGUGCAAACGUUGCUCGGAAUCAUUGGGCGUAAAGCGCACGUAGGCGGUUCGGUAAGUCGGAUGUGAAAUCCCUCGGCUCAACCGAGGAAGUGCAUCCGAAACUGCCGGGCUUGAGUACGGAAGAGGGUCUCGGAAUUCCCGGUGUAGAGGUGAAAUUCGUAGAUAUCGGGAGGAACACCAGUGGCGAAGGCGGAGACCUGGGCCGAUACUGACGCUGAGGUGCGAAAGCGUGGGGAG
rnacentral:rRNA from 1 species